rnacentral:precursor_RNA from 1 species
GGUGCGAGGAUACUGGCCAAUGGAAACCUUAUCACACUGGCUUGUAUUCUCGCUGCC